GAUGAAGAACGCAGCGAAAUGCGAUAAGUAAUGUGAAUUGCAGAAUUCAGUGAAUCAUCGAAUCUUUGAACGCACAUUGCGCCCGCCAGUAUUCUGGCGGGCAUGCCUGUCUGAGCGUCAUUUCAACCCUCAUGCCCCUAGGGCGUGGUGUUGGGGAUCGGCCAAAGCCCGCUAGGGACGGCCGGCCCCUAAAUCUAGUGGCGGACCCGUCGUGGCCUCCUCUGCGAAGUAGUGAUAUUCCGCAUCGGAGAGCGACGAGCCCCUGCCGUUAAACCCCCAACUUUCCAAGGUUGACCUCAGAUCAGGUAGGAAUACCCGCUGAACUUAAGCAUAUCAAUAAGCGGAGGA
rnacentral:misc_RNA from 1 species